GAUGAACGCUAGCUACAGGCUUAACACAUGCAAGUCGAGGGGCAGCAUGGUCUUAGCUUGCUAAGGCUGAUGGCGACCGGCGCACGGGUGAGUAACACGUAUCCAACCUGCCGUCUACUCUUGGCCAGCCUUCUGAAAGGAAGAUUAAUCCAGGAUGGGAUCAUGAGUUCACAUGUCCGCAUGAUUAAAGGUAUUUUCCGGUAGACGAUGGGGAUGCGUUCCAUUAGAUAGUAGGCGGGGUAACGGCCCACCUAGUCAACGAUGGAUAGGGGUUCUGAGAGGAAGGUCCCCCACAUUGGAACUGAGACACGGUCCAAACUCCUACGGGAGGCAGCAGUGAGGAAUAUUGGUCAAUGGGCGAUGGCCUGAACCAGCCAAGUAGCGUGAAGGAUGACUGCCCUAUGGGUUGUAAACUUCUUUUAUAAAGGAAUAAAGUCGGGUAUGCAUACCCGUUUGCAUGUACUUUAUGAAUAAGGAUCGGCUAACUCCGUGCCAGCAGCCGCGGUAAUACGGAGGAUCCGAGCGUUAUCCGGAUUUAUUGGGUUUAAAGGGAGCGUAGAUGGAUGUUUAAGUCAGUUGUGAAAGUUUGCGGCUCAACCGUAAAAUUGCAGUUGAUACUGGAUGUCUUGAGUGCAGUUGAGGCAGGCGGAAUUCGUGGUGUAGCGGUGAAAUGCUUAGAUAUCACGAAGAACUCCGAUUGCGAAGGCAGCCUGCUAAGCUGCAACUGACAUUGAGGCUCG
rnacentral:rRNA from 1 species